rnacentral:rRNA from 1 species
AUGGAUCUGCAGACCUUCGUGCUGAGGGUGACCAUCCACUGCCAUGGCUGCAAGAAGAAGGUCCGGAAGGUGCUCAAGAGCGUCGAAGGCGUGCAGGACGUGAAGGUGGAUGCCCAGCUGCACAAGGUGAUGGUGACCGGCACCGUGGACGCCGAGACGCUCAUCAAGAGGCUCAACAAGUCUGGCAAGCAGGCCCUGCCAUGGCAACACACGCCUGCCAAGAAUCCCGACCCUGCGCCAGCCGACGCCCCCGCGCCGGCCGAGGACGGCAGCAAGGAUGCUGCUGUGGCCGACAAGAAGCCGGCGGAGGAGCCGCAGGCCGACAGCUCAGACAAGAAGCCGGAGCAGGAGACGGCCUCGGAGAAGAAGCCGGAGCAGGAGACGGCCUCGGAGAAGAAGCCUGAGACGGAGAAGGAAGCAGAGUCUGAGAAGAAGGCUGACAAGGAGGAGGCGAAACCAAGCGACGAGGCAAAGAAAGACGGCGGCGAGGGCGCGGCGGCCGAGCCCAAACCCAAAGCAAAGGGCACCGAGCCCGCCGCCGCUGCAAAGGAGGCCGGCGAUGACGAGGGCGAGGCGAAGAAGAAACAGAGCAAGCCCAAGGACGCGGAUAGGUCCCUGGCCCCAGCGCCGGCGCCGGCCCAUGCGCCGAGGUACGCGCACCAGGAAUUCAACGCGCCGCAGCCGGUGAUGAGCUACAACAUGGCGCAGCCGAGAGCGAGCGUGUCCCACUACGCGCCGCAGCCGGAGCAGGGCUACUCGCAGCAGCAGCAGGCCGGGUACUCCUCCUCCUCCUCCAUGAUGGUGACGCAGCACCCACCGCCACCGGCGCAGCAGGCCUACUCCCAGCAGGCGCAGCCAAUGCAGCAAUGGUCGCCGUCCUACCUCUACAUGCCGUACCCGCACGCGUCGCCGGAGUCCUACUACCAGGACUACUACAGCCCGCCCGGGACGCACGCGUCGCCGCCGCCCCCGCCGCCGCUCCAGGACUCGUACCGCCUAUUCGACGACGAGAACCCCAACUCGUGCAGCGUCAUGUGA